GGUUUCGUAGCUCAGCCGGUAGAGCGCGUGCCGCAAUGAGGCAUGCUAUGUCUCUCGCUGGUUCGAAUCCAGCCGAAGCCC
rnacentral:tRNA from 1 species